GUCUCCAUCGUCUAGAGGCCUAGGACACGACCCUUUCACGGUCGGUACCGGGGUUCGAAUCCCCGUGGGGACGCCA
rnacentral:tRNA from 6 species